AUUAAACGCUGGCGGCAUGCCUUACACAUGCAAGUCGAACGGUAGCGCGGGGCAACCUGGCGACGAGUGGCGAACGGGUGAGUAAAGCAUCGGAACGUGCCCUGGAAUGGGGGAUAACGUAGCGAAAGUUACGCUAAUACCGCAUAUUCUGUGAGCAGGAAAGCAGGGGAUCGCAAGACCUUGCGUUCUGGGAGCGGCCGAUGUCGGAUUAGCUAGUUGGUGGGGUAAAAGCCUACCAAGGCGACGAUCCGUAGCGGGUCUGAGAGGAUGAUCCGCCACACUGGGACUGAGACACGGCCCAGAUUCCUACGGGAGGCAGCAGUGGGGAAUUUUGGACAAUGGGCGGAAGCCUGAUCCAGCCAUGCCGCGUGAGUGAAGAAGGCCUUGGGUCGUAAAGCUCUUCGGUGGGGAAGAAAUUGCACGGGUUAAUACCCUGUGUAGAUGACGGUACCCGACUAAGAAGCACCGGCUAACUACGUAGCCAGCAGCCGCGGUAAU
rnacentral:rRNA from 1 species